rnacentral:rRNA from 1 species
GUACACUCCUGCGGGAGGCAGCAGUGGGGAAUUUUGGACAAUGGGCGAAAGCCUGAUCCAGCCAUGCCGCGUGCAGGAUGAAGGCCUUCGGGUUGUAAACUGCUUUUGUACGGAACGAAACGGCCUUUUCUAAUAAAGAGGGCUAAUGACGGUACCGUAAGAAUAAGCACCGGCUAACUACGUGCCAGCAGCCGCGGUAAUACGUAGGGUGCAAGCGUUAAUCGGAAUUACUGGGCGUAAAGCGUGCGCAGGCGGUUAUGUAAGACAGUUGUGAAAUCCCCGGGCUCAACCUGGGAACUGCAUCUGUGACUGCAUAGCUAGAGUACGGUAGAGGGGGAUGGAAUUCCGCGUGUAGCAGUGAAAUGCGUAGAUAUGCGGAGGAACACCGAUGGCGAAGGCAAUCCCCUGGACCUGUACUGACGCUCAUGCACGAAAGCGUGGGGAGCAAACAGGAUUAGAAACCCCUGUAGUCCC